rnacentral:rRNA from 1 species
GUGCCCUUGCGGCGUGCUAUACAUGCAGUCGAGCGAAUCGAUGGGAGCUUGCUCCCUGAGAUUAGCGGCGGACGGGUGAGUAACACGUGGGCAACCUGCCUAUAAGACUGGGAUAACUUCGGGAAACCGGAGCUAAUACCGGAUACGUUCUUUUCUCGCAUGAGAGAAGAUGGAAAGACGGUUUACGCUGUCACUUAUAGAUGGGCCCGCGGCGCAUUAGCUAGUUGGUGAGGUAAUGGCUCACCAAGGCGACGAUGCGUAGCCGACCUGAGAGGGUGAUCGGCCACACUGGGACUGAGACACGGCCCAGACUCCUACGGGAGGCAGCAGUAGGGAAUCUUCCGCAAUGGACGAAAGUCUGACGGAGCAACGCCGCGUGAACGAAGAAGGCCUUCGGGUCGUAAAGUUCUGUUGUUAGGGAAGAACAAGUACCAGAGUAACUGCUGGUACCUUGACGGUACCUAACCAGAAAGCCACGGCUAACUACGUGCCAGCAGCCGCGGUAAUACGUAGGUGGCAAGCGUUGUCCGGAAUUAUUGGGCGUAAAGCGCGCGCAGGUGGUUCCUUAAGUCUGAUGUGAAAGCCCACGGCUCAACCGUGGAGGGUCAUUGGAAACUGGGGAACUUGAGUGCAGAAGAGGAAAGUGGAAUUCCAAGUGUAGCGGUGAAAUGCGUAGAGAUUUGGAGGAACACCAGUGGCGAAGGCGACUUUCUGGUCUGUAACUGACACUGAGGCGCGAAAGCGUGGGGAGCAACAGGAUUAGAUACCCUGGUAGUCCACGCCGUAAACGAUGAGUGCUAAGUGUUAGAGGGUUUCCGCCCUUUAGUGCUGCAGCUAACGCAUUAAGCACUCCGCCUGGGGAGUACGGCCGCAAGGCUGAAACUCAAAGGAAUUGACGGGGGCCCGCACAAGCGGUGGAGCAUGUGGUUUAAUUCGAAGCAACGCGAAGAACCUUACCAGGUCUUGACAUCCUCUGACAACCCUAGAGAUAGGGCUUUCCCCUUCGGGGGACAGAGUGACAGGUGGUGCAUGGUUGUCGUCAGCUCGUGUCGUGAGAUGUUGGGUUAAGUCCCGCAACGAGCGCAACCCUUGAUCUUAGUUGCCAGCAUUCAGUUGGGCACUCUAAGGUGACUGCCGGUGACAAACCGGAGGAAGGUGGGGAUGACGUCAAAUCAUCAUGCCCCUUAUGACCUGGGCUACACACGUGCUACAAUGGAUGGUACAAAGGGCUGCAAACCUGCGAAGGUAAGCGAAUCCCAUAAAGCCAUUCUCAGUUCGGAUUGCAGGCUGCAACUCGCCUGCAUGAAGCCGGAAUCGCUAGUAAUCGCGGAUCAGCAUGCCGCGGUGAAUACGUUCCCGGGCCUUGUACACACCGCCCGUCACACCACGAGAGUUUGUAACACCCGAAGUCGGUGAGGUAACCUUCAUGGAGCCAGCCGCCUAAGUGGAACAGAAG